rnacentral:rRNA from 1 species
GUGUGAGUGUGUAAGAGCGCAUGGUGGAUGCCUUGGCAUCAGGAGCCGAUGAAGGACGUGGAAAUCUGCGAUAAGCCUCGGGGAGCCGAUAAACGGGCUGUGAUCCGAGGAUGUCCGAAUGGGGGAACCCCGCCGCAUGCGAGUGCGGUGACCCGCACCUGAAUAUAUAGGGUGUGUGGAGGGAACGCGGGGAAGUGAAACAUCUCAGUACCCGUAGGAAGAGAAAAUAAGAAUGAUUCCGGGAGUAGUGGCGAGCGAAACUGGAUGAGCCUAAACCGUGUGCGUGUCAAGCGUGCUGGUGUUGCGUACAUGGUGUUGUGGGGUGUGUGUGUUCGGUUCAGCAUGACCGAGACGCUGAUGAGUGCUUACGUGUAGUCGAAGCUGGUGGGAAACAGUACCGGAGUGGGUGAGAGUCCCGUAGACGAAACGCGUGGCCCCGGUGUGACACGUGUCCCCGAGUAGCACGGAACUCGUGGAAUUCCGUGUGAAUCUGCCAGGACCACCUGGUAAGGCUAAAUACUUCCUGAUGACCGAUAGCGGAUCAGUACCGUGAGGGAAUGGUGAAAAGUACCCCGGGAGGGGAGUGAAAGAGUACCUGAAACCAUGUGCUUACAAUCCGUCAGAGCACCCGUGUUGGUGUGAUGGCGUGCCUUUUGAAGAAUGAGCCUGCGAGUUAGCGGUGCGUGGCGAGGUUAACCCGUGUGGGGUAGCCGUAGCGAAAGCGAGUCCGAAUAGGGCGGUCCAGUCGCGUGUCCUAGACCCGAAGCGGAGUGAUCUAGCCAUGGGCAGGGUGAAGCAGCAGUAAGAUGUUGUGGAGGCCCGCACCCACUUCAGUUGAAAAUGGAGGGGAUGACCUGUGGUUAGGGGUGAAAGGCCAAUCAAACUCUGUGAUAGCUGGUUCUCCCCGAAAUGCAUUUAGGUGCAGCGUUGCGUGGUUCUUGCCGGAGGUAGAGCUACUGGAUGGCUGAUGGGCCCCACCGGGUUACUGACGUCAACUAAACUCCGAAUGCCGGUAAGGUUCAGCGUGGCAGUGAGACAGUGGGGGAUAAGCUUCAUUGUCGAGAGGGAAACAGCCCAGACCAUCAACUAAGGCCCCUAAGCGUGUGCUGAGUGGGAAAGGAUGUUCAGUUGCGAAGACAACCAGGAGGUUGGCUUAGAAGCAGCCACCCUUGAAAGAGUGCGUAAUAGCUCACUGGUCAAGUGAUUGAGCGCCGAUAAUGUAGCGGGGCUAAGUACACCGCCGAAGUUGUGGCAGCAUCACGAUACUGUAAUGGUGUGGUGUUGGGUAGGGGAGCGUCGUGUCGCCAGUGAAGUCGCCGUGUGAACGAGUGGUGGAGGCGUCACGAGUGAGAAUGCAGGCAUGAGUAGCGAAAGACGGGUGAGAAACCCGUCCACCGGAUGACCAAGGGUUCCAGGGCUAGGCUAAUCCGCCCUGGGUAAGUCGGGACCUAAGGCGAGGCCGACAGGCGUAGUCGAUGGACAACCAGUUGAUAUUCUGGUACCGACACACAACCGACAAUACCAAAACACAUGAGACUAACUCCCCGGUCCACCCGUGGCGUCUUCGGAUGUCUGGUUGGUGGGUUGGUGAGGACCUGAGUGUGGAGUCGGUAAGCGUGAGGUGUGACGCAGAAAGGUAGCCAGGCCACGCGAUGGUAGUCGUGGUCUAAGGUCGUAGCAUGUGGGGGUAGGCAAAUCCGUCCCCAC